rnacentral:rRNA from 1 species
CUACGGGCUGCACCAGUGGGGAAUAUUGCACAAUGGGCGCAAGCCUGAUGCAGCCAUGCCGCGUGUAUGAAGAAGGCCUUCGGGUUGUAAAGUACUUUCAGCGGGGAGGAAGGGAGUAAAGUUAAUACCUUUGCUCAUUGACGUUACCCGCAGAAGAAGCACCGGCUAACUCCGUGCCAGCAGCCGCGGUAAUACGGAGAGUGCAAGCGUUAAUCGGAAUUACUGGGCGUAAAGCGCACGCAGGCGGUUUGUUAAGUCAGAUGUGAAAUCCCCGGGCUCAACCUGGGAACUGCAUCUGAUACUGGCAAGCUUGAGUCUCGGAGAGGGGGGUAGAAUUCCAGGUGUAGCGGUGAAAUGCGUAGAGAUCUGGAGGAAUACCGGUGGCGAAGGCGGCCCCCUGGACGAAGACUGACGCUCAGGUGCGAAAGCGUGGGGAGCAAACAGGAUUAGAUACCCUUGUAGUC